UACGUAGGCAGCGAGCGUUGUUCGGAGUUACUGGGCGUAAAGGGUGUGUAGGCGGUUGUUUAAGUUUGGUGUGAAAUCUCCCGGCUCAACUGGGAGGGUGCGCCGAAUACUGAAUGACUUCGAGUGCGGGAGAGGUGAGUGGAAUUCCUGGUGUAGCGGUGAAAUGCGUAGAUAUCAGGAGGAACACCGGUGGUGUAGACGGCUCACUGGACCGUAACUGACGCCGAGACACGAAAGCGUGGGGAGCAAACAGG
rnacentral:rRNA from 1 species